CAACCCUUAAGCCCUGUUGCUUAGCGUUGGGAGCCUACAGAUACCCUCUGUAGUUCCUUAAAGUUAGUGGCGGAGUCGGUUUCACACUCUAGACGUAGUAAAUUUUAUCUCGCCUAUAGAUGAGCCGGUCCCUUGCCGUAAAACCCCCUAAUUUCUAAA
rnacentral:misc_RNA from 1 species